rnacentral:misc_RNA from 1 species
GAUGAAGAACGUAGCGAAAUGCGAUACGUAAUGUGAAUUGCAGAAUUCAGUGAAUCAUCGAAUCUUUGAACGCAUAUUGCGCUCUCUGGUAUUCCGGAGAGCAUGCUUGUUUGAGUAUCAGUAAACACCUCAACUCCCUUUUCUUUUUUGAAAUUGGAGCUGGACUUGAGUGAUCCCAACGCUUUCUUCCAAGAAAGUGGCGGGUUGCUUGAAAUGCAGGUGCAGCUGAACUUUUCUCUGAGCUAUAAGCAUAUCUAUUUAGUCUGCCUAAAAAACAGAUUAUUACCUUUGCUGCAGCUAACAUAAAGGAGACUAGUUCUUGUGCUGACUGAUGCAGGAUUCACAGAGACAGCUUCGGCUGACUUUGUAAACUCGAUCUCAAAUCAAGUAAGACUACCCGCUGAACUUAAGCAUAUCAAUAAGCCGGAGGA